rnacentral:rRNA from 1 species
AUACGGAGGGUGCGAGCGUUAAUCGGAAUUACUGGGCGUAAAGCGUACGUAGGCGGUUAGUUAAGUUAGAUGUGAAAGCCCCGGGCUUAACCUGGGAACUGCAUUUAAAACUGGCUAACUAGAGUUAAGUAGAGGGGAGUGGAAUUUCAGGUGUAGCGGUGAAAUGCGUAGAGAUCUGAAGGAACACCAGUGGCGAAGGCGACUCCCUGGACUUGAACUGACGCUGAGGUACGAAAGCGUGGGUAGCAAACGGGAUUAGAAACCCCAGUAGUCC